rnacentral:pre_miRNA from 1 species
AGCACAAACCCAUUUAAACCUGGGUUUGAUAUGCUCCUUGAGGACAAGAAGCUCGAAGUUGUAUACCUUGAGUUCCAAGUUAUUUGUGUGAGCUUGAGAUAUGCAUUAUUGAGCUUAGCAGUCUCGAGGACCAUAUCAGACCCAGGUUUAGAUGGGUCCGCACUGCU